GAUGAACGCUAGCGGCAGGCCUAACACAUGCAAGUCGAGGGAGAAGCCCUUCGGGGCAGAAACCGGCGCACGGGUGCGUAACGCGUAUGCAACCUACCUUUCACAGGGGGAUAGCCCGAAGAAAUUUGGAUUAAUACCCCAUAAUAUUAUUGGAUGGCAUCAUUUGAUAAUUAAAAUUACGAUGGUGAAAGAUGGGCAUGCGUCCUAUUAGCUAGUUGGAGUGGUAACGGCACCCCAAGGCUACGAUAGGUAGGGGUCCUGAGAGGGAGAUCCCCCACACUGGUACUGAGACAGGGACCAGACUCCUACGGGAGGCAGCAGUGAGGAAUAUUGGUCAAUGGUCGGAAGACUGAACCAGCCAUGCCGCGUGCAGGAAGAAUGCCUUAUGGGUUGUAAACUGCUUUUAUAUGGGAAGAAUAAGGAGUACGCGUACUUUGAUGACGGUACCAUAUGAAUAAAGC
rnacentral:rRNA from 1 species